rnacentral:rRNA from 1 species
CGCCGCAUGUGGAUUCCAGAACUUUGAUUAUGGCUCAGGAGCGAACGCAUGGCGCGCGGUAGCCUAAUAUACAUGCAAGUGAGUAACGCUGAAGAGAGGAAGCUUGCUCUUCAUUGGAUGAGUUGACGAAACGGGUGAGUAACCGCGUUAAGGUAACCUGCCUUGUAGCGGGGAUAACUAUUGGAAACGGUAGCUAAUACCGCAUAACAAUGGAUGACACAUGUCAUUUAUUUGAAAGGGGGCAAUUGCUCCACUACGAGAAUGGACCUGCGUUGUAUUAGCUAGUAGGUGAGGUAACGGCUCACCUAGGCCGACGAUACAUAGCCGACCUGAGAGGGUGAUCGGCCACACUGGGACUGAGACACGGCCCAGACUCAUACGGGAGGCAGCAGUAGGGAAUCUUCGGCAAUGGGGGCAACCCUGACCGAGCAACGCCGCGUGAGUGAAGAAGGUUUUCGGAUCGUAAAGCUCUGUUGUAAGUCAAGAACGAGUGUGAGAGUGGAAAGUUCACACUGUGACGGUAGCUUACCAGAAAGGGACGGCUAACUACGUGCCAGCAGCCGCGGUAAUACGUAGGUCCCGAGCGUUGUCCGGAUUUAUUGGGCGUAAAGCGAGCGCAGGCGGUUUGAUAAGUCUGAAGUUAAAGGCUGUGGCUCAACCAUAGUUCGCUUUGGAAACUGUCAAACUUGAGUGCAGAAAGGGGAGGAGUGGGAAUUCCCAUGUGUAGCGGUGAAAUUGCGUAGAUAUUAUGGAGGAACACGCGGGUUGGCGGAAGCCGGCUCUCUUGGUCUGUAACUUGACGCUUGAGGCUCGAAAGCGUGGGGAGCGAACAGGAUUAGAUACCCUAGGUAGUCCACGCCGUAAACGAUGGAGUGGCUAGGUGUUGGAGUCCUUUCCGGGAUUCAGUGGCGCGCGGCUAACGCAUUAAGACUACUCCGUCCUGGGGAGUACGGGACCGCAAGGUCUUGCAACUGCUAAAUGUAAUUGACGCAA